rnacentral:lncRNA from 1 species
UUUGUUUGUUUCAUUUCGCCGGAUGUGGUAGUUUUACACCGCUUGUGAGCGGUUUCUAUCUUAAUCUGCAUUGUUUUGAAGAACUUAAAAAUUUGGUUACUUUCUUAAUUAAUAAGAUGACUGCAUGCAUCGAUUGAUGCAAAGGUCGGGGAUGAUCCUCCUUUUUCAAAUAAAAAAAUAAAUACCAUAUAUGCAUGACUGAUAUAGGUGAACCAUGCUUCUCUUCAUGUGACAAAAGCAUCUGGAGAAACAACCAGAUUCCAAGUGGUUUACAAAUUCCAGUAACUUCAUCUCAAUCCGAUGUCCGUGAUGGAUUGUAUAUACGUUGAUCACCUUCACCUGAAAAAGGAACCUUCCUCUCAACGGAGUUUUCAACGUGAUCAACAAUAACACCUUCCUGGUAGGAUUUUUCCACGUGCGCAUCAAUACAAAAUCCAUUGCUUGCAUUAGAUAUUUGCGACAGUUGAUGUCGAUGCACUGGUCUUACUUUUACAUAAGUAGAUCCACAAGCCGCACUUCACUUUCCAUUGAUAACCUCUGGUACUUCAACUUUCUUAAUAAGAGGUGACCCGCUACCAUUGUAUUCAAAUAGACAUGGAUCCAAGCCAAGUACGUCAAAUUGUGUAUGAUUUGGGAGAUGGACAAUGUAGACGACGAGGGUGGUGGUUGGAGGUGGAGAACGAAUCAAGGAAGGCGAUGGUGGAUGCCUAUUUGUUUGGUUUACUCAAAUAUCUCAUGAAAGGUCGUACAUACAACAAAACAUUUUCAUUCAUCCCAGUUCCGACAAGGAAAAUCAUACUCUCACGGUUCCUAGCCAC